GAUGAACGCUAGCUACAGGCUUAACACAUGCAAGUCGAGGGGAAACGGCAUUGAGUGCUUGCACUCUUUGGACGUCGACCGGCGCACGGGUGAGUAACGCGUAUCCAACCUUCCCAUUACUGUGGGAUAACCUGCCGAAAGGCAGACUAAUACCGCAUAGUCUUCGAUGACGGCAUCAGAUUUGAAGUAAAGAUUUAUCGGUAAUGGAUGGGGAUGCGUCUGAUUAGCUUGUUGGCGGGGUAACGGCCCACCAAGGCAACGAUCAGUAGGGGUUCUGAGAGGAAGGUCCCCCACAUUGGAACUGAGACACGGUCCAAACUCCUACGGGAGGCAGCAGUGAGGAAUAUUGGUCAAUGGACGGAAGUCUGAACCAGCCAAGUAGCGUGCAAGAUGACGGCCCUAUGGGUUGUAAACUGCUUUUGUAUGGGGAUAAAGUUAGGGACGUGUCCCUAUUUGCAGGUACCAUACGAAUAAGGACCGGCUAAUUCCGUGCCAGCAGCCGCGGUAAUACGGAAGGUCCAGGCGUUAUCCGGAUUUAUUGGGUUUAAAGGGAGCGUAGGCUGGAGAUUAAGUGUGUUGUGAAAUGUAGACGCUCAACGUCUGAAUUGCAGCGCAUACUGGUUUCCUUGAGUACGCACAACGUUGGCGGAAUUCGUCGUGUAGCGGUGAAAUGCUUAGAUAUGACGAAGAACUCCGAUUGCGAAGGCAGCUGACGGGAGCGCAACUGACGCUUAAGCUCGAAGGUGCGGGUAUCAAACAGG
rnacentral:rRNA from 1 species